rnacentral:rRNA from 1 species
UACGGAGGGUGCUAGCGUUGUUCGGAAUCACUGGGCGUAAAGGGCGUGUAGGCGGUCUGUUAAGUCUGAUGUGAAAUCCCCUCGCUCAACGAGGGAACUGCGUCGGAUACUGGCAGACUUGAGUACCGGAGAGGAAGGUGGAAUUCCCGGUGUAGCGGUGAAAUGCGUAGAUAUCUGGAGGAACACCGGUGGCGAAGGCGGCAUCCUGGACCGGCAUUGACGCUGAGGCGCGAAAGCCAGGGGAGCAAACGGG